rnacentral:rRNA from 1 species
CAUGGUUGUCGUCAGCUCGUGCCGUGAGGUGUCGGUUAAGUCCCAUAACGAGCGCAACCCUAUCAUUAGUUGCCAUCAGGUCAAGCUGGGGACUCUAAUGAAACUGCCUACGCAAGUAGUGAGGAAGGUGGGGAUGACGUCAAAUCAGCACGGCCCUUACGUCCAGGGCUACACACGUGCUACAAUGGCCGGUACAAAGGGCAGCUACCUGGUGACAGGAUGCUAAUCUCAAAAGCCGGUCUCAGUUCGGAUCGGAGUCUGCAACCCGACUCCGUGAGGCUGGAAUCGCUAGUAAUCGCGCAUCAGCCAUGGCGCGGUGAAUACGUUCCCGGGCCU